UACGAAGGGGGCUAGCGUUGUUCGGAAUUACUGGGCGUAAAGCGCACGUAGGCGGGUUGUUAAGUCAGGGGUGAAAUCCUGGAGCUCAACUCCAGAACUGCCUUUGAUACUGGCAACCUAGAGACUGGAAGAGGUUAGUGGAAUUCCCAGUGUAGAGGUGAAAUUCGUAGAUAUUCGCAAGAACACCAGUGGCGAAGGCGGCUCACUGGCCCGGUACUGACGCUGAGGUGCGAAAGCGUGGGGAGCAAACAGG
rnacentral:rRNA from 1 species